rnacentral:tRNA from 1 species
GAGGGGGUUUUACACCCAGAACUGCUACCUCUUGGGCCCAGGCAAAACCGCCUGACCCCUUAUA